UUCUCACCAGCAGUGUAUAAAAAUAAAAUUGGAAAGGCACAGAGAAGGUUGGCAUGGCCCUGUGCAUAAGGAUGAUACAUAAGUUUAUUUCU
rnacentral:snRNA from 1 species